UACGUAGGUGGCAAGCGUUGUCCGGAUUUAUUGGGUUUAAAGCGCACGUAGGCGGCUUGGUAUGUCGGGUGUGAAAUCCCCGGGCUCAACCUGGGAACUGCAUCCGAAACUGCCUUCUCGAGUAUGGGAGAGGGAAGUGGAAUUUCCGGUGUAGCGGUGAAAUGCGUAGAUAUCGGAAGGAACAUCAGUGGCGAAGGCGACUUCCUGGACCAAUACUGACGCUCAGGUGCGAAAGCGUGGGGAGCAAACAGG
rnacentral:rRNA from 1 species